GACGAACGCUGGCGGCGUGCUUAACACAUGCAAGUCGAACGGUAAGGCCCUUCGGGGUACACGAGUGGCGAACGGGUGAGUAACACGUGGGUGAUCUGCCCUGCACUUCGGGAUAAGCCUGGGAAACUGGGUCUAAUACCGGAUAGGACCACUGCCUGCAUGGGUGGGGGGGGAAAGCUUUUGCGGUGUGGGAUGGGCCCGCGGCCUAUCAGCUUGUUGGUGGGGGGAUGGCCUACCAAGGCGACGACGGGGAGCCGGCCUGAGAGGGUGACCGGACACACUGGGACUGAGAUACGGCCCAGACUCCUACGGGAGGCAGCAGUGGGGAAUAUUGCACAAUGGGCGCAAGCCUGAUGCAGCGACGCCGCGUGAGGGAUGACGGCCUUCGGGUUGUAAACCUCUUUCAGCACCGACGAAGCGCAAGUGACGGUAGGUGCAGAAGAAGGACCGGCCAACUACGUGCCAGCAGCCGCCGUAA
rnacentral:rRNA from 1 species